AUAGUUUGAAAGAUCAGAGGAAGAUGCCUCAUGGCCUUGCCAGAUUCUUCAAGAACGAACCCAGAGACGCUGUUGCUAUCUAUCUUCAGCGUCUGCUGGAUGAUGGUAUUGACAUCUCUGAUUUCAGCCUCGAUGACUGUCUGGACUCUGAAGAAGAUUUAGUCAGAUACAAGAGAGGUAUUUCUGAAAAGAAGAUAGCACCACCAGCAAAGAAGGCCAGACUUGAAGGAGCUUCUGGAAGCGGAUCUUCAGCUCCUCUGCAAUUUUCUACUGGUAAGUCUGUUCCUCCUGCUACCUCUGAAUUCAUGAUGGCUUCCUCUAAUCCUCUCUCUUCAC
rnacentral:lncRNA from 1 species